GUGGGUAAGUUCUGGUGUACCUAAGGGUAUAUAUUACGGCCGGGUGCGGGUAGCGUCUUAUACACUUGAUUUCUUCCAAUCUUGCUGAUUGGGCAUCAACAAAAGCUGUUCUUGAUAUUUGUCGCUGGCUUGGAGCUUGAAGUUACAAGGAAUAACAAUGCGUAGGUCACUGACGAUCGUCUUCGUGGUGCUGGUGUGUGCAGUUAUGCUGUGCGCGUCACAGAAUCUCUAUAAUGAAAGGCCAAAGGUGGACAGGCCGUCGCGAAAGCCAUCUGAUACAAAACCACCAAGAAGCACCCCAGCCGGUGGUCGCACACGUGGACCGGCCACGGCUAGACCAGGGAACGGACGCUAAGAUGACGAUCUUCCUUCUCAAGACUUUGCAACAACAGUUUAUUAUUUUGUUCAAAUUAUAAUAUAUAAUGUGGCGGAAUUUUACAACUUGUAUAUUCGAAAAUUCAAAUGUGGACGGUUUAACUUAUUUUUAAGUUAUUAUGUAUAUCAACACCUUUUUCACAACUUGUGUGUUAUUUAAAAUUGCAUUAAACAUAUUGAUCUUUGA